AUCCAGCUGUUGAGUCCUAAAUAGGAUGAGACACGCGUCAUGGAU
rnacentral:hammerhead_ribozyme from 1 species